AUCAAAGAAGAAUCACGUCGUUGUUUUAAACCGGAGCGGGAACGGCAUUCAGGCUCUACGGUUGUUUAUUUUUCAACCAAAACAAAUAUUUCAGACAUAUCUAAAUAGGAUACACAUGUGAAAUAUAAAAAAAAAAAUCGGUAACGAACAGCACGUUAAAUGUUCGGUGAGUAAAUUUUAUUUUGUGUUCCAGCAUCCACUUUUGAUGACAUGUUUCCUUACACAACCGACGUUUGGGAUGCUUAGCUGCGUUCAAUAAACUGUAUAGAUGAAUAACUUACAACAUCAGGAAAGAAAUGUUUUCGACAGAGAUUUUUUCCUGUUAAGUUGGCAACUGAUUUGAAACUUUCUUGGGCGAGUGAAUGUUAAUAUACACAGUCGAGGCCCGUAUUUGACAUAUUUCUUCCUGCUACGCUGUGAAAUUAGACAUUAGCAUUUGAAUAAAACGUCUCGCGAUUUGAAGUCAUUUGACAUUGGCUUCCAACGUAACCUAAGGAUGAGUAGACCAUUGUUCAUGAAGACGUACGGAAAAAAACAGACCCGGAAGUUGAACGCUUGGAUCUCUCCUGAUUACCGGAAACAUGCGUUCGCAAGCACGUCCUCCUCAGAUCUGUCCAUCGGCAGGCCCACCAGCCCGAAACCCCCGGUUCGGAGGGUGAGGAAGAGCACUGCUGCUGGCCGUGGAUUGGUGCGGUCGGCAAAGACCAAAGCCCUGGCCUGCCUGGGAGACAGUGAUAGUGACGGAGAGAACGUCUUCAUCCAUCCUCUUCCUCAGAGUCAACAGCAGAGAACAAACACUGCCAGGUGAGGGGUGUGGGUAUCUCAUGUGUUUGUUUACUCAAACACAAGACUGUUACCAUGGUUUCACAUGUUACCUGAGAAAAUAUGUAAUUCACUCCAAGACCCAGAAUUUCUAUUUACAUUGUGUUUAAAUGUCCAGUUGUUUGCCAGCUGGUAGAACAUGUUAGCACACAAGCUGGGUCAAACGUCGGUAUAUUUAAUACAACCCAUUUCCAGAAAAGUUGUGCCG
rnacentral:lncRNA from 1 species